rnacentral:rRNA from 1 species
UACGUAGGGUGCAAGCGUUGUCCGGAAUUAUUGGGCGUAAAGGGCUCGUAGGCGGUUUGUUGCGUCGGCCGUGAAAACCUGCAGCUUAACUGUGGGCCUGCGGCCGAUACGGGCAGACUUGAGUUCGGUAGGGGAGACUGGAAUUCCUGGUGUAGCGGUGAAAUGCGCAGAUAUCAGGAGGAACACCGGUGGCGAAGGCGGGUCUCUGGGCCGAUACUGACGCUGAGGAGCGAAAGCGUGGGGAGCGAACAGG